UGGAGUUGCUGGGUUGUGUGCAGUGCUUCACUAAAGCUUCCACUUCCAGUCUUGCUUCUUAAUAUGAAACAUUGGAGAAAAUCUCCAGGACAUUGGUCUGGGCAAAGACUUCUUGAGCAAUACCCCAUAAGCACAGGCAACCAAAGCAAAAAUGGACAAAUGGGACUACAUCAAGUUAAAAUGAUUCUGCAAAGCAAAAUAUGCAAUAAACUAAGUGAAGAGACAACCCAUAUAAUGGGAGAAAAUAUUUCCAAGCUACCCCUCUGACAACGGAAUAAUCACUAGAAUAUAUAAGGAGCUUAGACAACUCUAUAGGAAAAAAUUCUAGUAAUCUGAUCAAAACAUGGGCAAGAGAUUUGAAUAGACAUUUCUCAAAAGAAGACAUACAAAUGGUGAACAGCCAUAUGAAAAAGUGCUCAACAUCACUGAUUGUCAGAGAAAUGCAAAUCAAGACUAUAAUGAGAUGAUCGUCUCACUCCAAUUCAAAUGGCUUUUACCCUAACAACAGGAAAUAACAAAGACUGGCAAGAAUGUGGAGAAAAAGGAACUCUUGUACACUGUUUGUGGGAAUGUAAAUUGACACAACCACUACGGAGAACAGUUUGGACAUUCCUCAAAAAACUAAAAUUGAGCUUCCAUAUGAUCCAGUAAUCCCAGUGCUGGAUAGAUAUCCCCAUCCCCCACCAGAAAAAAAAGAAAUUAGUAUAUUGAAGAGAUAUCUGCACUCCUAUGUUUGUUGUAGCACUGUUAACUAAGCUAAGAUUUUGUUACAGCACAGUUUACUAAGCUAUGGAAACAACCUUAGUGUCCAUCAACAGACGAAUGCAUAAACAAAAUGUGGUAUUUAUACACAAUGGAGUACUAUUCAGCUAGCCAUAAAAAGAAUGAGAUCCUGUCAUUUGCAACAACAUGAGUGGAACUGGAGAUUAUUAUGUUAAGUGAAAUAAGCCAGGCACAAAAAGACAAACAUUGCAUGUUUUCACUAAUUUGUGGGAUCUGAAAAUCAAAUCGAUUGAACUAGUGAACAUAGAGAGUAGAAGGAUGGUUACCAGAGGCUGGGUAGUGUAGAGGGGGGUUAGAAGGAGGUAGGGAUGGUUAGUGGGUAAAAGCAAACAAACAAAAAUAGAAUUAAUAAGAUCUACUUUUUGAUGUCAUAAUAGGGUGACUAUAGUCAAUGAUAAUGUAUAUUUUAAAAUAAAGUGUAAUUGGGUUGUUUGUAACUCAAAGGAUAAAUGCUUUUGUGGGGAUGGAUACCCCAUUCUCCAUGAUGUGCUUAUUUCACAUUGCAUGCCUGUAUCAAAGCAUCUCAUGUACCCCAUAAAUAUAUGCACCUACUAUGUACCCAUAAAAAUUUUUUUAAAAAGUUGAAAAAUAUAUUUUUUAAUGAUCCUGAUUUGGUCAGUGGGAGCACUUUUUUGGUUUCUCUAAUUUUCUCAUCAUUUUAAAAGCAUUUUAUUAUUUUCUAGGCAAGAAAACAUUCCAGAUUUCUUAUAUUAACCCAAGAAUCAUUCAUUUCUACAAGUAGAAUGGUAUUUAGAAAUGAAGACUUGGGCUGUAGGUGUCACUUUGUAACUGAGAUGUCUCAACAGUCAGUGCUAGGAAAUAAAUGUGUGUGUGUGUGUAAAUUUAUACUGAUACUUCUCAUUCCCAUCCAAUAGCACAGAGUUCUUCAUUGCCUUUCUCCGUUCCAUAUUUGUAUCUCUCUUCUGCUAUAAUGGAAACCCUGAUUCCUAAAAUAAAACAAUGUUUAUUUAUUGGUACAAUUCAAUAAUAGGCACAAAAUUUCUACUCCCAUGCCACCACAAUCUAGAAAUCUAUUAGAGGUCAAAAUUUCUUUGCACACACUCUGAAGUUCCGUUGGAUUUUCCCCUCCUUGUGGUUAUGUCAUCAACUUGGUUAGGUUCACUUGUUUCUAUUUGUGUUCAAUUUUAGUUUGUUCCCCGCUUUUGUUGACUUAUUUUUAUUUUUUAAUGUUUAAAAUAUUUACAUGUUUUCUGAGUUCAAAACUUUGCAAAAAGAUAUUUCAGAAUUGUGCUUAUUAUCCAUUCUUGAUUCUUCUCUCCUCUAUACUCAUUGGAUACUCUUUCUUGUAUUUCUGAUAUUUUUCUAGGCUGUAAAUAAGCCAUCAUUACCUGUCAACUUGAUUAUGUGUAUUGCCUCCUAGCUGGUUUUGCCCCCCUUUCAAUCCAGUAAUUCGAACCUGGGCUGCACAAUAAAAUCUUUUAAGGAACUUUAAAAUAUAUUGGUGCCUAGAUUCCACCUCCAGGGAUUUCAAAUAAUUCUUCUGGAGGGGGCUGUUAUUGGAUUUAAAAAAAAAAAACUGCCUAGAUCAUUUAUGAAACUACCUAGAUGAAAACCACUGGGCAAUUCAACGAUUUUUUGUCAAUGAACAUCUCAUUAUGUUACAUUCCCAGCUUAAAAUUUCGAUAGCUUCCCAGUGUCCUGAGCAUGAACACCUAGCUCCUUCCUAUGGCUCCAUGAUCUAGGCUUACUUCUCCAGUCAGACUUGUGCCCCUUCUCCCUAUGCUGUAAGAGCCACCCAGACUAAACUACUUUUAUCCCCAGGAAUCCACCAAGGGCUUGGCCACCUCCAGGCCUUAGCACAGACUGUAUCUUCUGCUUAAACCCUCUUUUUCCUAUUCUUUAUCUGGCCAAUAUCUAAUCAUUUGGGUGCCAUCAUAGAUAUGACAGAAUUUAAUCACAUCUUUCUUACCUGAUCUUCCACGUCUGGUUUAGGAGCCUGUGCAUGUUCUUCCUUGGACCCCCUUAUCACUGUUUUAAUAAAAAUGUGUAGUAACCUUCUGCUUUUUGCUUAUCUCACCCUACUAGAUGACAAACUUUGUGGGAGAAAGCCAGCCUGUCUCUGUCAUCGUCAGUGCCUAUCACCAUGCUUGGCCAUUGUGGCUGCUCAAUGAAUGAAUGGGGAAAUAAAUAACUGAGUGGAUAAACAAAUAAAUGUAAAUUGCCUUCUUUUGAUAGAAUCCAUUUGCCAUAACCAAGUUCCAAAAUCCUCACUGGUAAUCCAAUAAGAGAAGCAGGUAGUGCAGGACUAAGUGUGUGGCAGGUUGCACAGAUGCUUGACUGACAGGUCGACUUAUUUAUCCAUAUGACGAUUUCAUUUAUAAUUAUCAAAAAAGUAUUUAAGGCCGGGCGCGG
rnacentral:lncRNA from 1 species